AAAUCCUUUCCUAUUCCUUCAGAAACUGUCAAAUUUAUCUCGAACACCCUGUAUGUGAGGGGGCGCGAAUUAAUCAGGCUCUCUGAGUCUGCAAGAACGCUCGUUGUUAGCGCCGACGAAAUUUGUGCCGUUUUUCGGAAAAUAUUUCGGUAGGUGGACCCCUUCGACUCACAAACCGACGAAUUGCCAUGAUGCACGCUACUGUAGGCAAGCUGUGUGCGACUUCUAGAUGCAAUGCUCGUGUAACGAGGCAAGUAAACACAGCUACGUGCCGUUUUUCUCGCCGUCUUGCAUUGACCACCUCUAUUGGCCCCAGGUAGUCGAUGCUAAACUAAACGGAUGAAUGUGGGAGCGUUGACAUUAUUUCAUUGACCUGGAGACACACGAACGCAGGUGUUGUAUGUAGUACCGCUGCCUAAUCUCAUACACAACCGUUUCGCGAUUGGCAUGCCCGAACCUGCGGUGAUAAUCGUUAAUGAUCAGUUCCGUUACGGCGUGAUUUUUCGGGAGUAUGAUCGGAUAACGUGCGUUGAGAUCUAUCUGCUUUGCUUUGCAUAUUCAGCUAUUCACGCGUAGAGCUCCGUGUGCGUCUUUAAAAGGCGUAAGCAAGAAUAGGGGAUUGUUUUUCUCCAGUUCGGUUGCGGCAUCCUGUUUUAGGUCUGGCUGGCUGAUCUCUAGCUUUUGCAUUUCCGCAUGAUAUGGAAGAUUACACAAGAAGACGCAUAUCAGCCUUCUCAAACUCUUCGGAGCUCAGGGGUAAGUUUUCAUACGAAACAGAUUUUAGAAUAUGAGCUUGCUGUUUUUUAGUGGCCUUUAACGUCUACAAUUUGGCAUAAACCGGUACAGAAUCGCUACUGUCCGCACAAACACGCACCAUUUAGAAAAUCGUUCAGGUUUUAAGCUAAAACUCUCUAUUUCUGUGUGCAUCAUUACAUAUCGGCGACGCUCUUCGGUUGUGUUAUCGAUUGGUCUCUGUGGUGGCCAAGCUUUUUCUGGUUUGUGCAAGAACGGUGGUCCAAGAAACCACAUUCCGUUUGGUUGAAUGACUGUCUCUUUGCACCAUUUUGUUAAGCAGUGUUGUGUUUUCUAUUUAAUAAUUCAGUUCCAGUUAUAUUCACGUUAGGUUUGGUUACAAGAUAGAGCGAGAGUGCGUAAGCGAAGCUUAACCCGAAGGCGCGCCCGAAAUUGACAGACGUCAAAACGCGGUUGGCCAGGUAGCGCAAUAAUUCCAAACAGCAGGUUGGACCAUACAUAACAAGCUGUCUGCCGGAUUUUCUUUCAUGGGAACAUGCUUCCAGUUGUGCAGUUCGGAUAGCGUUAGUAAUUCACCAACUCGGCAGGCUACAAAUUGUUUAAACUCUCGCCUGGGAGAACAAAUCCAGGACAAGACAACUUCAGAGUCUGUAUGUAUGAAUUUGUGACGAAUAUGUACAGUAGAGCGUCGAUUAUCCGGGCAGCUCGGGACCGAACGGUUGCCGGUUAAUCGAUUUGCACGGAUAA